AGCCGUCUUGAUUUUGCCAACUAAAUGCCAUGCUUUUGACUAUCUAAGGCCCUUGAGCUGUUGGCCACUUUUCCUUAUGAAGUAUCAGUCUCAGACGGUGAGAUGAGCAAAUGCACUUCUCUUUGAACUUUGACCAUGCUUUCUGCCUUCAAACAGAUGUCCAAAAAGUAAUAGAUCCGUUGUCCCUGGACUGAAGUCUUCAAACUGUGAUGGCACCAUUGAGAAGUGAUUGGAUCAUGAGAACGUUAACUUCAGCCACUGAUGAGAUCAAAGCUGCAUGAGCUACGAGGACAUGAGACCCGAUGGUCUUGUCAGAGAAAGUGGGCAUCUUGGGAUGUGCCUUUGGAAGGUGGAUCGUGUCCCUAGUUAAUGUCAAUCUGUCUGUUUGUCCUCUCUCUCUCCCUCUCAUCACAAACCCACAGCAAUAAAGAUGGCUAAAAUGUA